AGAGUUUGAUUAUGGCUCAGGAUGAACGCUGGCGGCGUGCUUAACACAUGCAAGUCGAACGAAGCAUUUCUAACUCUUCGGAGGAGGAAAUGACUGAGUGGCGGACGGGUGAGUAACGCGUGGGUAACCUGCCUUAUACAGGGGGAUAACAGUUAGAAAUGACUGCUAAUACCGCAUAACCCGCUAGUACCGCAUGGUACAGACGGAAAAGAUUUAUCGGUAUAAGAUGGACCCGCGUCUGAUUAGCUAGUUGGUGAGGUAAUGGCUCACCAAGGCGACGAUCAGUAGCCGGCUUGAGAGAGUGAACGGCCACAUUGGGACUGAGACACGGCCCAAACUCCUACGGGAGGCAGCAGUGGGGAAUAUUGCACAAUGGGGGAAACCCUGAAUGCAGCAACGCCGCGUGAAGGAAGAAGUAUUUCGGUAUGUAAACUUCUAUCAGCAGGAAAGAAAAUGACGGUACCUGACUAAGAAGCCCCGGCUAACUACGUGCCAGCCGCGGC
rnacentral:rRNA from 1 species